CGACGUUGAUAGGCCGGGUGUGUAAGCGCAGCGAUGCGUUGAGCUAACCGGUACUAAUGAACCGUGAGGCUUAACCUUACAACGCCGAAGGUGUUU
rnacentral:rRNA from 2 species